rnacentral:tRNA from 1 species
GCCUGGCUAGAUCAGUCGCUAGAGCAUGAGACUCUUAAUCUCAGGGUAGUGGGUUCGAACCCCACGUUGGGCG